rnacentral:lncRNA from 1 species
GGGGCUCGUGGGGAGUGGGAGGAAGCUGGGGAGAAGAUGAGUUGAGAGCAGUCCAGUGUGAGGGAAAGUGGGGAUCCUGGGCCAACUUACCAUUAAGAGGGUCCAGUCCUGUGACUGCUGUGAAGUAACCAGGAUUCCACAUAGAGAUGGGGCUCAAAGUCAGCCCAGGAGCAGCACUGUGGUCCCAGCACCUCUGGGCCAGUCCAGCCAGGUGUAGAGUGAAGCUGAGCCCUUGAUUCAUCCUUGAUUCCAUUGUGAAGUCACACAGCAGCUUGAACUAAUAUUUGGCGACUCCAAGGCCAGGGAUAAAAAUGAAGAGAUGGAGAGACAAGAUUUCCUGGCCUCUAAUUGGCAGCACCCGUUGACUCUGCUCGUGACCAGACUCAUGAACGCUUCAUCCAAGGUUUCAUGUCAUCCGUGUGAGGAACCUCUCUGAUUUGAGAAAAUCUUUCUUAAAAUGGGCUUCUAGUUGUAAAGCCAUUGUCUUUUUAGGAAAUCAUCAAAUACCUUAAAGCUAGACACGCAAUCAGCUGCAUAAAUGACACACUCACUAAAUCAAUCCUUUAUCAGGUGAUCCUGAUGCUCAUGGCCAUGCAUUGAGAACAACUGUGUAAGAAGAUAUGGAUAAUGCUUGAAAACUACUAGUAUUAGCACCAUUUUGCAUAUACUCCAAGGAAGAUCUCAAUAAAUGCUUAAUGGAAAUAAGUAAAGGUAUGAAUGCUGGACCUAAUACAGGAGGAAGACCCAGGUGAUUUGUGUACAAUUUGGACACAAGCUCUUGCCAACCACCUGAGAGAUUCCAACAAUGAGAUGAGAUUCCUUACCUUGAACCAGAUAAUUUGGAAUGAAUGUCUAGGCAGAACUUCUGCUUCAGAAUGACCACAAUUAACUACCAGACAACCAACUUUGGGGACAUAUCAGUAGGUACGAUAACAGGGGAAUGAGCCCUAGACUUAAAAUCAGAGGAUCUCAGUUUGCAUCCUGGCUCUGUGCCUUGCUAAUUGAGAUGCUUGGGGUAAGUUGCUUGCUUGAUGGUUUUAUGCACUUAGCCAUUCAUUCAAUGCCUUUCACUGAGAAACUACUGUGUGCCUAGUACUGUGCCGUACGUUUUACACAUUAUCUCACUUAAUUAAUACAACACCUCUAGUAGAUAAUCAUCUUCCCUAUACAUAAUUUUAGAGAGGAAGAAAAAUCACAUGUUGGGGCUCUCCUAGCAAUUGUACACUUAAGUCUCCAGACUUUAUUUCCAGGGUCCUGACCUUUAAUUCCUGGGGCACAGUUAUUAUUAAUUUUCCUGCAUGACCUCUGAGACCUCAUGGGCCCAUAAAGGGAAUCAAGCUUGGAUGAAAUUUUAGAGUUGGAAAGAACAUGAGAGAUGGUCUAAUUCACCUGCAUUCAAAUGAAGAUUCAGAGUCAAGAUCCCAAAUUAGAAAAUGGGAGGUGACAUUUCCAGAAUAACUCCUUCCCUCACUCUGGGGCUCUCCAGCUUUGGCUUCUCCUGGGUCAACAGGUGGUCCGUCAGAGAGGCAACAUUCAUGGUGAGUGGUGUCCGAUCCAAGAUGUCUGCAGAGGCUGGCCAUCCUGAAGUGUUCAUUUAGAUACUAAGGACCGAUGGUCCCUGCCUCUUGCCUUCAUCUGAACCUGACACUCCAAAUCGAUGCCUAACGGAUCUUUCCAUUUUUACAUCAGACUAACCAAUUAAAAACAACCAAACAAACCUAUGUGUACUGGUGGGAGGGAAGGGGAAUGGAAAGUACUAUGCAUUUGUUAGAAGAAACCCUCAAAUGUAACUGAACUGGAUGAAAGUUAUGAAGUUCUCUAUGCACACAAACUAGAAAACCUAGAAGAAAUGGAUAAAUUUCUGGACACAUACACUUUUUCAAGUCUGAACCAGGAAGAAAUUGAUUCCCUGAACAGACCAAUAAUGGUCUCUCUAGUUGAAUUAGUAAUAAAUACCCUACCAACCAAAAAAGCCCAGGACCAGAUAGAUUCACAGCCAAAUUCUACCAAAUGUACAGAGAAGAGACGGUACAAUUCCUACUGAAACCAUUCCAAAAAAUUGAUGAGGAGGGACUCCUCCCCAGCUCAUUCUUUUUUUUUUUUUUUUUGAGAUGGAAUCUUACUCUGUCACCAGGCUGGAGUGCAGUGGCACGAUCUCAGCUCACUGCAACCUCCACCUCCCGGGUUCAAGCGAUUCUCCUGCCUCAGCCUCCCAAGUAGCUGGGACUACAGGUGCACACCACCACACCCA